ACGAACGCUGGCGGCAUGCCUAACACCUGCCAGUCGAACGCGACCUUCGGGUCUAGUGGCGCACGGGUGCGUAACGCGUGGGAACCUGCCCUUAGGUUCGGAAUAACUCCCCGAAAGGGGUGCUAAUACCGGAUAAUGUCUUCGGACCAAAGAUUUAUCGCCUUUGGAUGGGCCCGCGUUGGAUUAGCUAGUUGGUAGGGUAAAAGCCUACCAAGGCGACGAUCCAUAGCUGGUCUGAGAGGAUGAUCAGCCACACUGGGACUGAGACACGGCCCAGACUCCUACGGGAGGCAGCAGUGGGGAAUAUUGGACAAUGGGCGAAAGCCUGAUCCAGCAAUGCCGCGUGAGUGAUGAAGGCCUUAGGGUUGUAAAGCUCUUUUACCCGGGAUGAUAAUGACAUUACCGGGAGAAUAAGCUCCGGCUAACUCCGUG
rnacentral:rRNA from 1 species